AUACGGAGGAUCCGAGCGUUAUCCGGAUUUAUUAGGUUUAAAGGGUGCGCAGGCGGAACUGUAAGUCACCGGUGAAAUCCUGCAGCUUAACUGUAGAACUGCCGGUGAUACUGCGAUUCUUGAGUAUAGUUGAGGUAGGCGGAAUGUGUAGUGUAGCGGUGAAAUGCAUAGAUAUUACACAGAACACCGAUUGCGAAGGCAGCUUACUAAACUAUUACUGACGCUCAUGCACGAAAGCGUGGGGAGCGAACAGGAUUAGAAACCCCAGUAGUCC
rnacentral:rRNA from 1 species